GCUGGGCAUGGUAGCUCAUGCCUGUAAUCCCAGCAGCUUAGGAGGCUGAGGCAGGAUGAUCGCAAGUUCAAAGUCAGCUGCAGCAAUGGCAAAGCACUAAGCAAUUCAGUGAGACCCUGUACCUA
rnacentral:sRNA from 1 species